CGGGGUGUAGCGCAGCUUGGUAGCGCGUCUCGUUCGGGACGAGAAGGUCGGAGGUUCAAAUCCUCUCACCCCGAC
rnacentral:tRNA from 1 species